UUUAAAUUGCUGUAGUAUUUUGACUAUACAAAGGUAUUGAAAUAAGACUUUAAUUGAGUGCUAAGAGAAUGGAUUAACAAAAAAUGGCUUUUUAAAAUCAAUAAUUGAAAUUAUUUUUAUUUGUGCAGAAUCAAUAAUAUUAAUUAGGGACAAGAAGACCCUAUGAAUUUUAAAAUAUAUUUUAAAUAUCUUUUAUUUAAAUAUUUAUUUUUAAUUGGGGCGAUUAAAAAAUAUAAAUAACUUUUUUUAAAUAUCAAAAAUGAACCAUUAAUAAUGGUAAAAUGAGUAAAAUACUCUAGGGAUAACAGCGUAAUAAUUUUUGAUAGUUCUUAUAGACAAAAUAGUUUGCGACCUCGAUGUUGGAUUAGGAUUCUUUUUUAAUGAAGAAGUUAAAAUAAGAAGUUUGUUCAACUUUUAAAAUCCUACUUGAUCUGA
rnacentral:rRNA from 1 species